UACGUAGGUGGCAAGCGUUGUCCGGAUUUACUGGCGUAAAGAGCGCGCAGGCGGUCGUUCAAGUCGCGUGUGAAAGCCCCCGGCUCAACUGGGGAGGGUCACGCGAUACUGAUCGACUCGAAGGCAGGAGAGGGUAGUGGAAUUCCCGGUGUAGUGGUGAAAUGCGUAGAUAUCGGGAGGAACACCAGUGGCGAAGGCGACUACCUGGCCUGUUCUUGACGCUGAGGCGCGAAAGCGUGGGGAGCAACGGGG
rnacentral:rRNA from 1 species